UACGGAGGGGGCUAGCGUUGUUCGGAAUUACUGGGCGUAAAGCGCGCGUAGGCGGACCUGCAAGUCGGGGGUGAAAGCCCGAGGCUCAACCUCGGAACUGCCUUCGAUACUGCGGGUCUCGAGUCCGGGAGAGGUGAGUGGAAUUCCUAGUGUAGAGGUGAAAUUCGUAGAUAUUAGGAAGAACACCAGUGGCGAAGGCGGGUCUCUGGACAGUUCCUGACACUGAGACACGAAGGCCAGGGGAGCAAACGGG
rnacentral:rRNA from 1 species